UUCCUUUUUGGGUUUGUGAAAGGGAACACUGGAUGCUCACGCCACUGGGUGACACGUGGCUCUCUCACAAACCUUGUUAGGAUGCUGGCACGUUACCUGUCUGACA